GACGAACGCUGGCGGCGUGCUUAACACAUGCAAGUCGAACGGAAAGGCCCUGCUUUUGUGGGGUGCUCGAGUGGCGAACGGGUGAGUAACACGUGAGUAACCUGCCCUUGACUUUGGGAUAACUUCAGGAAACUGGGGCUAAUACCGGAUAGGAGCUCCUGCUGCAUGGUGGGGGUUGGAAAGUUUCGGCGGUUGGGGAUGGACUCGCGGCUUAUCAGCUUGUUGGUGGGGUAGUGGCUUACCAAGGCUUUGACGGGUAGCCGGCCUGAGAGGGUGACCGGCCACAUUGGGACUGGGAUACGGCCCAGACUCCUACGGGAGGCAGCAGUGGGGAAUAUUGCACAAUGGGCGGAGGCCUGAUGCAGCAACGCCGCGUGCGGGAUGACGGCCUUCGGUUUGUAAACCGCUUUCGCCGGUGACGAAGCGUGAGUGACGGUAAUGGGUAAAGAAGCACCGGCUAACUACGUG
rnacentral:rRNA from 1 species